rnacentral:lncRNA from 1 species
UGUCCAUUUUUUUUCUUUCUGCGAGGUUAUCGAGCACUUGCUCCUUUUUAUUUCCUCGAAAUAUCUUUAUUUUUGCAUAGCCCAUUCCUCUAAUGCAAUAAUACUUCGGAAGAGUGAAUCUUUCUGAAUAAAUGUCUUGAUCUUGGGAGUAUGAUAAAUCUCUCAACAAGGGUCUAACUCAUUUUGAACAAACUCAAUACAUAGCAGAUAGCUUUUCUAAUCAUAAUUAAUAUUUUUAGUUUAAUUAGGCAUAUAAAACACUGAGGAUGGUAGCUAGAAUUUUUGAAUAAAUUCUCCAAGCAACAAUGA